CCUGUUCAGCAAUGAGGCCUGGAAUGUGCGCUAGGCACGGUGCCCCGAGUCAGACUGCGGAACCAUUCCUGUUGCCUGCCUUCUGAGAACAGC
rnacentral:snoRNA from 1 species